ACACACCUCUCUGCAGGGGUGUGGUCGAACACCUGCUGUCCCAUGCAAGCAGAAGUCACUGCCCACCAGGUCACCAGGGUUCAAGGCUUGUGUUAGACCGGGUACCAGGCUGCCUGUGCACAACUCACAGCUCCACAAUGUACAAGUGGAUAUUUGUAAGCAAUGGAAGAGAGAAAGAAGACCUGAAAUUGAUGAGUUUUGUAAAAUGUGGAAGGAAAACAUGAUAAGAAUUGUAUAAGUUUUCAGUAAAAAGAGAUAAUUGAUAAUGAGAGUGGAAAGCCCUAACUGAAGUCCCAGUAGUUUCAUGAUGGCCAUUCUGUUUGCAGAGAAGUUCACCGAAAUGUGUAAAACUUGGAACUAGGUUGCAGAAACAAGAAAGCAUUGCACAGGAUCUUAAUAUUCUGUAAACAAUUAAAAGGGCUGAAAAAUUACCUUCCUAGUGAAUGAAAUGAAUGAAGCAUAGGAUUGAAACAUCACUUACAACAAUUUCUGGGAAGCACAACUAGAGUAGAAUCAAGAAACUUGUCACCGGAACAUAAUGAACUUCCACAUUAUUUCCAGCAUCAGCACAUGCCAGAGACAUCAUGGUCUCCAAUGGCAGUAUAGACCACAGACAAUCAGCAUGCCCCUCUAUGGCAGCAUAGGCCAUGGAUGAUAUCAUAGCCCUCAGAAGCAGCACAGAGUAAGGACAUCAACGUGACUUCAGACUUCAGACCAUGAACAUAAACAUGGAUUCAGUGGCAGCAAAGACCAUGGGUAUCCAUAUGGCCUUCAGGGGUAAUACAGGUCAUGAGUAUCAAUACAGUUCCUCUGGAUGCAGUAAGACCAUGGAUGCUGUCAUGUUCCUAGGAAGCAGCAUGAACCACUAACAUCAGACUGACCUCAGGUCACAGUACAGACCCAUUCAUAUUAAAAUGGUCCUGUUUAUCAGCUUGGCCAACUAACAACGAUAUGGAGUCAGGCAGCAUCAUAGAACAAGGAUAUCUGCAUGGUCUUUGGUGGUAAAAUGGGCAAUGGACAUCAACUCAGCCCUGGCUCUAUAGCACCAUGGAUGUCCACAUGAAUCUUCUGUUUAAACAGAGCCUCAGAUAGCACAUC
rnacentral:lncRNA from 1 species